GACGAACGCUGGCGGCGUGCUUAACACAUGCAAGUCGAACGGUGAACGAGGGAGCUUGCUCCCUCCGGAUCAGUGGCGAACGGGUGAGUAACACGUGAGCAAUCUGCCCUGGACUCUGGGAUAAGCGUUGGAAACGACGUCUAAUACCGGAUACGAGGCGUGGGGGCAUCCCCAACGCCUGGAAAGAACUUCGGUCCAGGAUGAGCUCGCGGCCUAUCAGCUAGUUGGUGAGGUAACGGCUCACCAAGGCGACGACGAGUAGCCGGCCCGAGAGGGUGACCGGCCACACUGGGACUGAGACACGGCCCAGACUCCUACGGGAGGCAGCAGUGGGGAAUAUUGCACAAUGGGCGCAAGCCUGAUGCAGCAACGCCGCGUGAGGGACGACGGCCUUCGGGUUGUAAACCUCUUUUAGCAGGGAAGAAGCGAAAGUGACGGUACCUGCAGAAAAAGCACCGGCUAACUUCGUGCCAGCAGCCGCAGUAACAC
rnacentral:rRNA from 1 species